AGAGUUUGAUCCUGGCUCAGGAUGAACGCUAGCGGCAGGCUUAACACAUGCAAGUCGAGGGGUAUAGUAGCAAUACUAGAGACCGGCGCACGGGUGCGUAACGCGUAUGCAAUCUACCUUUUACAGAGGGAUAGCCCAGAGAAAUUUGGAUUAAUACCUCAUAGUAUUAUUGAUUGGCAUCAAUUGAUAAUUAAAGUUACAACGGUAAAAGAUGAGCAUGCGUCCCAUUAGCUAGUUGGUAAGGUAACGGCUUACCAAGGCGACGAUGGGUAGGGGUCCUGAGAGGGAGAUCCCCCACACUGGUACUGAGACACGGACCAGACUCCUACGGGAGGCAGCAGUGAGGAAUAUUGGACAAUGGGCGCAAGCCUGAUCCAGCCAUGCCGCGUGCAGGAUGACGGUCCUAUGGAUUGUAAACUGCUUUUGUACAGGAAGAAACACUACUUCGUGAAGUAGCUUGACGGUACUGUAAGAAUAAGGAUCGGCUAACUCCGUGCCAGCAGCCGCGGUAAUACGGAGGAUCCAAGCGUUAUCCGGAAUCAUUGGGUUUAAAGGGUCCGUAGGCGGUUUAGUAAGUCAGUGGUGAAAGCCCAUCGCUCAACGGUGGAACGGCCAUUGAUACUGCUAAACUUGAAUUAUUAGGAAGUAACUAGAAUAUGUAGUGUAGCGGUGAAAUGCUUAGAGAUUACAUGGAAUACCAAUUGCGAAGGCAGGUUGCUACUAAUAUAUUGACGCUGAUGGACGAAAGCGUGGGUAGCGAACAGGAUUAGAUACCCUGAUAGUCCACGCCGUAAACGAUGGAUACUAGCUGUUGGGCGCAAUCUCAGUGGCUAAGCGAAAGUGAUAAGUAUCCCACCUGGGGAGUACGUUCGCAAGAAUGAAACUCAAAGGAAUUGACGG
rnacentral:rRNA from 1 species